AACGAACGCUGGCGGCAGGUUUAACACAUGCAAGUCGAGCGCCCCGCAAGGGGAGCGGCAGACGGGUGAGUAACGCGUGGGAACGUGCCCUUUGCUACGGAAUAGCUCCUGGAAACGGGUGGUAAUGCCGAAUGUGCCCUUUGGGGGAAAGAUUUAUCGCCAUUAGGGCGGCCCGCGUCUGAUUAGCUAGUUGGUGAGGUAAAGGCUCACCAAGGCGACGAUCAGUAGCUGGUCUGAGAGGAUGACCAGCCACAUUGGGACUGAGACACGGCCCAAACUCCUACGGGAGGCAGCAGUGGGGAAUCUUGCGCAAUGGGCGAAAGCCUGACGCAGCCAUGCCGCGUGAAUGAUGAAGGUCUUAGGAUUGUAGAAUUCUUUCACCGGGGACGAUAAUGACGGUACCCGGAGAAGAAGCCCCGGCUAACUUCGUGCCAGCAGCCGCCGUAA
rnacentral:rRNA from 1 species